AUGAGGUGUAAAGGUGUCUUGUGUCUAACAGAGAUGAGACCAAAUUAUUAUUGAGUGAGUGCUCGAAGAAGGUGAAAAGCCUGUGUGGUCAUGUCAGCCUGUUAGACCGAGAUACUGAAGAGUCUAGUUGUUUGAGAGUACAACUUAAAGCUGGUGGUAAAUUUCAUCAAAGGCUAAAUAUCUGAGGGGACUAAUAGCGAACAAGUACCAUGAGGGAAAGUUGAAAAGAACUCUGACGAGAGAGUUCAAUAGUACGUGAAACCAUACUGAGUAAAACAGAUAACUGUGCUGUUACGUUGUGUGCCUAUCAACAGUUUACUUGGUGUUGCCAUGCCGUGAGUGUAGGUUGUCGAUUCAACUGAUUGCUUACGGUUAGCAUAGCUGAGGAUUCUGUGCAUUAGUGCGCACUCUUCCAUUGAGAAACUAUGCUGCUGCGGCAUCGGUGUAGAAUAGUCCGUACCUAGUGCGUUGUUCUAUGCUGGGUGCAGCUAGCAGGCGUAGUUUGGCUGUACGACAGCUGUUGGUUGCGUUUACGAAUCGGUUACUGCUGUAUCUGCGAAUAGGUUAAUUCCGUUUUGCGGCGAGCAUGUUAUCGAAGGUAAGCAACUAGCCAUCAAUGGUUAGCAUUAGUUAUUUGACCCGUCUUGAAACACGGACCAAGGAGUUCAAAUGGCACGCGAGUCAUUGGGUUUAAUCACCCGAAGGCGAAGUGAAAUGCAAACAUAUUGUUAUUUGUGGUUGUUCCGCAACUAAGCGAUAAGCUACCUAUGCUUCUGGCAUUUGUAGACUACAAGCGU
rnacentral:rRNA from 1 species